ACUGCCACAUCCCUAGCGUGCCGGGUUCGAUCGAUCCCUGCCAUGCAAGUCGCAUGCAACUGGGUGGCUGAAGAGCGCAUUCAUUCGUUGCCGGUAAAUGGAAGCCGUGCGGUGCCAAGACGAGCGCUCUUGUCCUUCUGAUGAGUUAGAACUCAGCUUGAGCAGGAGUCACACCAAUCAAUUGCGAGAAUAGACUACUAGCUGUAGCAUACUCCUUGAGGAAUACGGCCGCAGCGGCGUCUUCUUGGCAGUAAAUUAUGAUGGUGGUGUAAGUAUGGGAUGCGGUUGAAUAUUGAAAAGGGUAAUAGGAGAGGAAGAUUUCAGAGAUAGAAGAGGUUUGUUUCUCCUGAAAGGCAGCUGGGUGGCCGAUGAGCUCAAUCACUGCAAGCUCCAGCAGGAGCUCCAACCAGUUAAUCCUGACUGAACGAAUCUCCUGUAAACAAUGACCUCGAGCACAAGCCUUAUUUUUAGGAGAAGAGGGCAUCGCCGUGGUUCCGUUAGAAUUGAAGCCACAUGAGCGUUAAACACGCGAAGAAAGCGAAGUACCAACAGCCAGCAGAAGUAUGGCAUAGAUUACAAAAGCUCUGAAAAAACUACACACUCUGCAACACAUCAGGCAGCCACAGGCCCUUUAUUCUUCAGUUGCAAUCAGGUGACUGAAAUUAGUUGGUCUCUGACAUAAUCCGUGUUUGUUUGCUCGGUUUAGUUAGUCUAAAAUCUUUAGUUCUUGCUGUCCUGACACGCGAAAGUUUUGUUGACUUUGCUGCUUUCUCUGAAACUGAAUACGAUCUUCCUAUAUUUUACACCAACGCUUUUACUACUCCCACACAAAGUAUUGUUGUCUUGUAAGUUUCAUGAAACUUCAGUGUCUAGGAGUAGCUAGGAGUACUCCAUGAUAAUAUACCUUUGUCACACCAGUGCAAACUGAAGGCAACCGAGGCAAAGGAGCUGACAAAACUGUAAGUUUGUGGUAACUACUGAAUUUUGAUUUAGUUUGAAUUGUCAGACUUGAAGUGGUAGUGUCAAGUCUGAUUAAUCUUGAAUUUGUCUUGAAUUGCAUUUUGUCUUCAGUAGUUACCACAAAACUUCUGCUAUCUUCUCUAGCAGUGUGAGGAGCAAUGCAAUUGGUAAUUUUCUGCCAUCUUCUCUAGCAGUGUGAGUAGCCAUACAAUUUGUAACACUGAAUUUUGUUAACACUGUCUCCAUACAAUGGUUCCUUUUGGGUGGAAUUAACUUCUAGGGUUCUUGAAUUGGUCCUCCAGCAACAAACAGGAAAGAUUUCUGCGACGGAGUGCUUAAAAACAGUGUUCAUGAAUCAGCCGUCAGUUAAAAUUGCAAAUUGAGCUUGCUUUGCUCUUGUCAGUUCAGUUCGGCUGUGGUUGGAGCUUCAGCCGGUUAGGUUAGGUCAGCUCUAAAUUUCUGCCAGUAGGAACAGCAAUUCUUGCUCCUUUUUUCAGGUAAAAUCAAUCAUCAUGGGACGAGGUCGUGUAGUUUGCUUUCUUUCUUGGUUUGCUUUGUGUUGUUAAUUCCAAGAAAGAAGAAGAAAGGUGUGCUGCAAAACGGUGUUGUCGCUUGCAAAUCUUGAGUACUCCACUGAUACAUACUCCUAGUACUAUACCACUGAUACAUACUCCAAAAUUCAGCUGAAGAUGCACCAAACAUCUUCUUUUAGAAGAGAAUCAGACCUUUUAGCAAGGAAUUGCAUUGCAUUUGGCUCAAUAGCAAAUCUAUGGUGAAGUCUACCCAUGAUUCAGGCCCUGAACACAUGUUUAUUUCCGAACGUGCCCUCGAGGCCCUGAACUGCCUAUCCCUUUUGUGACAUUUUGGUAACCAUGCUUUUUAACAAGCUGUGUUCAUGUUGGUAGGACAAGAAUGGUGUUCCAAGUUGGGUUAUCAGUAAAUUUUCAGUACUAAAUGAAAGUACUCCAAACUUUGUCAUCUGUUCUCUCUUGUUGUAAAUUUGAAUUUUAUCGCAGGGAAGGGAAUAAAGGGAGAAUUCUUCUCAUGAUCUUUGACAUGUUUCCUCAACAAACUAAUAACACUGAGAAUCCGCAAAAAAAAAUCCUAGAAUUGAUAUUGAAUUGAUAUUGAUCUUCUGUGCACAUUUUUUCUAGGAUCAGGCAGAGGAGCAGCAGCAUCACGGGCAUGGGCAGAGAAGCAGCAGCAGCACGGGCAGAGCUCCACCGGCGACGCACGGCAGAGCAGCACCACGGGCACAGGCGGCAGGGGAGAAGGUCGAGCCCUCCUGGUCAAGGCGAUCGAGAUCCAGGCGCACAGGGGAGCUCGAGGAGGACGAGCUCCACUGGAUUGUGGCAGCAAGUUCUGGGCGUGAGGGGAUCACGGGGGCGCAGGUCCUUGGCUGCGGAGGCGGUGGCGGAGCAGUUCAUGGACGGCGCCAGCAGAGCAAGUCCUGGGGCGGCGGCAGCGGCGGCGAAUCACGCAGCUGGGUGGCGCCUGCCACUGGCCGGGCGCUGGCGACGGGCAGAGGGACCUGUAAGACACAAUUUUGCAAGUACGAGGAGACAGUGCAACUGCGCCAUCCCCGCGUGGGCGGGAGAGAAGCGAACGAACGCUUUCUCAAGUACCGCAACACGAUCUGUCCGAAACAACAGUUGAUGCGGUGAGCCUAGGAAGCCACGUUAUGCAGACAUUUCAAUGGUUACCUUCCAGAUAAUUGCAUCGCCAGGCCUGAUGUAGGGUGUGAAACACAGGAAGGCAUCAUAUUUUUUCAAUGGCAAGGAUACAUUUUUAUCA